rnacentral:misc_RNA from 1 species
CAUAUCUUGUUUUAUUACGACAAUACUGUUUUAAGCUAUAAUUAAUAAGAAAAACAAAAAUUUAUUCAAUUUCUAUAUUAAGGUAUACACGAUUACUAACAAUUACAACUUCAUGCCAUUGAGUGUCGGGCAAAUCCAAACUGAAAUCUGCUUUAUGGUAUUUUGCUUGGCUUUUUUGAGUUAUUGUUGCAAACUUGUAACCUAAAACAUAAGAGCGAUAACGAUUUAAUGCAAUCUUUGCCUUCCUCCAACUUAUAACUGGCAAUCUUAUCCGAAUCCCUACCACUAAAUACUGGCAACGAUAAUAAGGAUUUAAGCUCGCUACAAUACUUGUCCUUCUCUCAGACAUCACACUUAUAAUCUACAUUAUUUCCUAACUAAAAACUAUUUACUAAAUGCAGAUCGUUUAAAAAUAGGCUGCUGAAAAAUACAAUCCGUUAAUCCUUGCACUUUAGCGAAAACAACUUCGGUUAUCGAAAGCUUGCUUUNGCUUCUAGACAUUUUUCUUAAAUCACUCUUACCAGAAAUUAACUUCUGGUUUUCCACAAUUUAAGUUAAUACUUAUUAUUGCAUAACCC